UACGGGGGGAGCAAGCGUUGUUCGGAUUUACUGGGCGUAAAGGGCGCGUAGGCGGCCACCGCAAGUCGACUGUGAAAUCUCCGGGCUUAACCCGGAACGGUCAGCCGAUACUGCGGGGCUAGAGUGCAGAAGGGGCAACUGGAAUUCCUGGUGUAGCGGUGAAAUGCGCAGAUAUCAGGAGGAACACCGGUGGCGAAGGCGGGUCUCUGGGCAGUAACUGACGCUGAGGAGCGAAAGCGUGGGUAGCAAACAGG
rnacentral:rRNA from 1 species